UAACAAACUGACAGCUGGAACAUUUCACUUGGAGGAGGGGGGAGUUUCAUAAAAGGAUGCAAUAAUUGCAGGCCCAGCCCGGAUCACGUACUCCACCAUUCAUUCCAAUUACUUGCUCACCCCAUGCAAAGUUGAAGUCAAACAAAGGCCAGCAACAGGGUGUUGGAGGCAACAUCAUUGUGGAGUAGUUCACCCACUUGAGGCACAGGAUCAUUGUGGGAUCUGGACCACAAGGCUUGUCCAAAACGUUGGUCAGAUCUUCUGAAAAGGCAGUACCACUGUUGGAUUGAUGUUCUGCUCCUCAUUGACUGCAUGCCAAUGUGUCACUGCAUUUCUGAAAAUGUCCUGUGAUCCCAGUCUCUUCAUAAGUGCAAGCCUCAGGUAGGCCAAGAUGAAGGAAUGCUUAAUCGUUCAAGUAUUAGAUUUCCUUUAUCCCCAACCAACAGGGACAUUGGUAAAAGUAUUGGAAGAAUCUGCUCGUCAAAUAUUCUUCGAUAAAGUCAACCUGAACCACGCAAACAAGUCGGUGGGACAUUUUACCUGUACAAUGGCCACUUUGCAGCACAGCACUUGCUCCACAUUCCACUCAUACGAGAGAGGAACGUAAUUUAUUCACCAGUGAUUAAUUUCCUUAUGGUCUGAUUCAUGUAGUUUUUACGACUUUAAAUAUCAAUUUACUUUAUUUGUCACCAAUAGCUAUGUAGAAAAGAUAUUACAGUUGUCAAUCUGACCACCCCAAGGAUUCAUUGUAAAUUUGCUGUCUUCAAAAAUGCCUGGAUCUUAUCCAUUUCUGACAAAGAUCACAGAGCUGAUGUGAGAUCCUGUCUCUGCUGCUGUGCUGCUUAUAUUAGACCCUUGCUUCUGGCAAUCAUGCCAAUCAUUUCAAACCACACAGCUUGUUCUUAGAAUUCACCUGGCAUACCAUAUAUUGAAAGUGUACUGAAACCUGAUCUCUCCAACAUCUUGAUUUAAAACUAGGUGUCAUCCAGAGUUUCUGAUUUGGAAGCCAGAAGUUUCUGACAAUAUAUAGGUCUAAAUCUUUGAUUUAUGCCCUUUGAUUUUUUUCCCUACUGUAAGUUGGUAUUCAACCUGACACAGAGACUGCAGAUUUACAAUAAACUUACUCUGGGGCAUAAAAUGUAAAUUUUCCCUACUAGUUUAUCACACAUUAGACCAGAGUAUUGUACACAAACUAAAGAAAAAGAGCAUCAAUGAAUUGCAUAUGGAAAUAAAUAAGAGGUAAAUUAUGCACCAAAAUAGACCAAUAAAAUGUUAUGAUGAUCAAUGCUGGAUGCAAAAUUGCAAAGUCAAACACUUGAAAAAGAUCUAGGCCCGAAGUGUCAGCUUUCCUGCUCCUUUGAUGCUGCUUGGCCUGC